GGAAAGGAGGAGCGGAGGAGGAAGUGCGGAACGCGGCGGUGCCGCCCGUGACCUUUUGAACCGCGAUCUCCCGGUGGGAAUCUUCGGCUGCCACCGCUUUAUCUGUUGGGCGGCACUCGGAAACAGCCGCCACGCAGCGGAUCCGUCCGGCCGCGGGCAGCCCGCCGAGCCGAGCCGAGCCCCGCGAAAAGCGCCGCGCGCCCCCGGCCUGGCGCACGAGGCACAGCGCGGGCGGACAAAACGCCCUCCGGAAGCCCGCGGCGCAGACCCCGCAGUUCCCGAGCGCCGUCGCCGCACGGCCGUCCCUCCCCCCCGCCCGGAUCCGCCGCAGGGACGGCCCGAAGCGGGCACGGCGCGGCCCCCCCUCCUCCGCCCGGCUCUCCGCUCCCGGGCCGCGGCGGUAGCGCGGUGCCGAGGAAAGGGCCGCCGCCUCCCGCCCCGUCCCCACCUUCCCCUCCUCCCGCGCUCCUCGCGGCCCCCGAAGGAAGGGCAGAGGAGCCCCCCCCGCUCCGCUCCCCGCCCCCCGUCGGGCCCGGCCGCAGCGCAGCACGGCAGGCCGGCAGGGCAGCACAGGGCCCGGCAGCGGCAGGCCCGGGCGCUCGGCCCUUACCCAUGAGGAUGCGCAUCUGCUUCUUGCCGAAGAGGCGCGAGAAGAGCGAGGAGAUGCUCGCAGCCGGAGGCCGCGGAGAUGAGGCGAGCGCCGCGGUGAUGCUGGCACCACAGACGUGUCCCAGCCGACGGCAGCGAAACUGAAACCCCGACCGGUGCAGUGCUGUUAGAAACGCGUUCGUUGAGAAAGGUGAAGAACGGCCCUCCGCUCACCUUACGCCUUGCAGAACUGCAUUUCUUUGCAGGGCUUCCCCUGGUUCCUGAGGCAGGCGGUGCCCCCCCGGGCGCUGUCCCACUCCGGCCUUCACGCAGCUCCUUCCUACGGGGAGCUGGUGGGACACGGGGGACAAAGAGCCCGGUGCAGUGUCACCCACGGCGGGUUUGCCUGGCAGCAGAGCUGUCACCAUUCGCAUCCUUUUAGUAACAGCUAUCCAACUCAAACUGUUGGAGGUUAACUCUGAAAACUAAGCAAAUGCUGUGCAAGGUAGCAGAGCAAUAAACAGCCUCCUUUAGCCAGGGAUACCCCAGAGCCAGUGGGCCUUGAGGAGGACAUCAAUCAGGAUGGUCUGAGCACAUGGCUGACCUGGCAAGAAAACUCAACGCCCGUCCAUCUGUAGCUGAACUACCUUCAUUGUAAUACCAAAAUCACAGCUGUAGGCCAAAAAGACCCCUGCCCAGGUAAGACUCUUCCCCUGAGCACAGAGUCAGCAAUAUUGUAAAUUACCAACCAAUCAUUGCAAGGAGGACAGACUGGAAAAAUUGCUAAGUCGGUAGCACAGAUCGUUUUGUUUGGGGUGCUUCACUUGCGGGAAACCACCAAGCACCCAGGCUUGUGCAAACCUGAAAUAAGCAAGCAAUGUCUCUCCUGAGUGUGUGAUUAUUGACUUAUUGCACAUCGGGCAACAAACCCGGUUUUCAGACAGCACAACUAUAGAAAUCUCCUCUCUCACCAGCCAAAAAGAGACGGGGAGACUGCAUCUCUUCACCCCACCAUCAGCCAGCUGAGGGUUUGAUUUUGUUUUUUAAUAGUCAGAUGAAAACACAGGUAAAGUUACUGAAACUAGUAGUUCUUGCACAGUCAUUUAGCCUUCAAGCCCCAGAUGAAUGAGGAUUAUCACCGGCUCUUUACCUAUAUUUUAAGUACACUGAGCUGAAUAAACAAGGAUGGAAAAAUUCCAGUCCAUCAAGCUGGCAACUGCUUUCUGCAGCUGAUUCAGUUCCUCGGCUGUAACACUACAAAUGGCUGAAGCAUCCCAGGUUAAAACAUGCACGCUCAGCAUCAAAGGACUGCAGGGAGACAAGAUCAGAAACCUGUAACAAGGAAAGACUGUUCCUAGCUUUGUGACUACAUUUUGCCUAGGCCUGCAGCUCUAGCUUAAGGUCCUUUUGAACUACCAGCGCUAAAAGCAUUACAAGUCACUGACAAAGAUGGCAAACAACCCCCAUACAACUUUUCCUUUUGCCUUUCUUUUGAACAAGACUCUAAUAAUUGCAGCUGGUUCGGGGAUUUGAGCUAAUAUCAGCUCCUAACGGUCACCCGAAGGACAUGGCUUCAUCAGGUCACACACAGCAGCCAGCAGUCUCUACAUGCUGCUGAGCAGCCUUGCUUACAGCAGGGAGAAAAGCCACACCCAUGAUCCAAGUCACGUCACUUCCAAAAACCGAAACUCUUUAUUUUCUUUUACAAAAAUAAGUAUUGCAGUCAUGUGAUAACAUUUAUUGUGGUUGUUACCAGUUUACAUAGUUCCAAGGAACUACACAGUGCUCCAGGUUAGCUUUAGUAUAACAAUGGCCACCUAUUAAUUUCUGAAUUAGAAAUUAUAUUCAUCAGGAUGUGCAAACAAAAUUCCAAGUUAGAAGUUAAUGCUGAAGUGGUGUAGUUUAAGCAACACGAUACAGAAACUUUUUGUCAUGAAUAACUGUAUACAAAACAUAACAGUAUUAAAAUACAUAUCUUCAUAAAAAUAGUCACGACGCUUCGUAUCUAAAUAAGACAUUUUUAGAAAGAUGGUAUGAAAUACUUAUUAUACAAAAGCACUUUCUUGUAGCAGGAUCACAAGGUCAUGUGUCUUUAAAAAUUCCAUCCAAGCACUUAAAAGUAGAUUUCUUUGAUAACUGAUCCACUUGUCAUGUAAAAGCGUAUGCUGUGCAUACACCAUAGCAUUAAGUUUAUUCUACUUGAAAUCUAAGUAUAACACUGCAUGUAGAGCAGCUGAGUCCUAAU
rnacentral:lncRNA from 1 species